UAGUGUUACAGCUCUUUUAGAAUUUGUCUAGCAGGCUUUCCGGUUUUUUUUUUACUGGAAAGCCCCU
rnacentral:snRNA from 1 species